rnacentral:tRNA from 1 species
GGGGAUGUGGCGGAACUGGUAGACGCGCAGGUCUCAAAAACCUGUUCUCGAAAGAGAGUGUGGGUUCAAUUCCCACCGUCCCUA